rnacentral:rRNA from 1 species
UACGAAGGGGGCUAGCGUUGCUCGGAAUUAUUGGGCGUAAAGCGCGCGUAGGCGGCUACUUAAGUCGGAUGUGAAAGCCCCUGGCUCAACUGGGGAAGUGCACCCGAAACUGAGUAGCUUGAGUGCAAAAGAGGGCCGCGGAAUUCCCGGUGUAGAGGUGAAAUUCGUAGAUAUUAGGAAGAACACCGGUGGCGAAGGCGGCGCACUGGCUCGAUACUGACGCUGAGGUGCGAAAGCGUGGGGAGCAAACAGG